CCUACGGGUGGCUGCAGUGAGGAAUAUUGGUCAAUGGGCGCGAGCCUGAACCAGCCAAGGAGCGUGAAGGAUGAAUGCCCUACGUGUUGUAAACUUCUUUUAUAAAGGAAUAAAGUGAGGCACGAGUGCCCGUCUGUGUGUACUUUAUGAAUAAGGAUCUGCUAACUCCGUGCCAGCAGCCGCGGUCAUACGGAGGAUGCGAGCGUUAUCCGGAUUUAUUGGGUUUAAAGGGUGCGUAGGUGGGUUGUUAAGUCAGUUGUGAAAGUUUGGGGCUCAACCGUAAACGUGCAUUGGAGACUGGCAGCUGUGAGAUCGAUAGAGGUAGGCGGAAUGCGCGGUGUAGCGGUGAAAUGCUUAGAGAU
rnacentral:rRNA from 1 species